rnacentral:tRNA from 1 species
GGCCCAUUGGUGAAGAAGAGUAUCACGCUUGCCUGUCACGCAAGAGGACACCAGUUCAAGUCUGGUAUGGGUCG